rnacentral:rRNA from 1 species
UACGAAGGGGGCUAGCGUUGUUCGGAAUUACUGGGCGUAAAGCGUGCGCAGGCGGUCUGUUAAGACAGAUGUGAAAUCCCCGGGCUCAACCUGGGAACGGCGCUUGUGACUGCAAGGCUAGAGUACGGCAGAGGGGGGUGGAAUUCCACGUGUAGCAGUGAAAUGCGUAGAGAUGUGGAGGAACACCGAUGGCGAAGGCAGCCCCCUGGGCCGAUACUGACGCUCAUGCACGAAAGCGUGGGGAGCAAACAGG